UGGGGAAUCUUCCGCAAUGGACGAAAGUCUGACGGAGCGACGCCGCGUGGGUGAAGAAGGCCUUCGGGUUGUAAAGCCCUGUCAUUAGGGACGAAUGGCAGCAGGACUAAUAAGUCUGUUGUUUGACGGUACCUAAGGAGGAAGCCCCGGCUAACUAUGUGCCAGCAGCCGCGGUAAUACAUAGGGGGCGAGCGUUGUCCGGAAUCAUUGGGCGUAAAGGGCGCGUAGGCGGGAAUACAAGUCUGUUUUUAAAGUUCGGGGCUCAACCCCGUGAUGGAAUAGAAACUGUAUUUCUUGAGGGCAGGAGAGGAAAGUGGAAUUCCCAGUGUAGCGGUGAAAUGCGUAGAUAUUGGGAGGAACACCAGUGGCGAAGGCGGCUUUCUGGACUGCAACUGACGCUGAGGCGCGAAAGCUAGGGGAGCGAACA
rnacentral:rRNA from 1 species